UUAGAGUUUGAUCCUGGCUCAGAACGAACGCUGGCGGCGUGCUUAAUACAUGCAAGUCGAACGAGAAAGCCCGACUUCGGUUGGGCAAGUAAAGUGGCGAACGGGUGAGUAACACGUGGAUAAUCUGCCCUUGAGUCUGGGAUAAUCCUCCGAAAGGAGGUCUAAUACCGGAUAAGACCACGGGAUGGCAUCUUCCUGAGGUCAAAGGUGGGGUAACCUACCGCUUGAGGAUGAAUCCGCGCUCCAUUAGCUUGUUGGUGAGGUAACGGCCCACCAAGGCUACGAUGGAUAGCCGGCCUGAGAGGGUGAUCGGCCACACUGGGACUGAGAUACGGCCCAGACUCCUACGGGAGGCAGCAGUAGGGAAUAUUGCGCAAUGGACGAAAGUCUGACGCAGCAACGCCGCGUGGGUGAUGAAGCUUUUUGGAGUGUAAAACCCUGUCAGUGGGGAAGAAACGUAUAGGGAGUAACUGCCCUGUACCUGACGGUACCCGCAGAGGAAGUCCCGGCUAACUCCGUGCCAGCAGCCGCGGUAACACGGGGGGGACAAGCGUUGUUCGGAUUCACUGGGCGUAAAGGGCGCGUAGGCGGAUCUUCAAGUCGGGUGUGAAAACUGGCGGCUUAACUGCCAGCCUGCAUUCGAUACUGUAGAUCUUGA
rnacentral:rRNA from 1 species